AGAGUUUGAUCCUGGCUCAGAUUGAACGCUGGCGGCAGGCCUAACACAUGCAAGUCGAACGGUAACAGGAAGCAGCUUGCUGCUUCGCUGACGAGUGGCGGACGGGUGAGUAAUGUCUGGGAAACUGCCUGAUGGAGGGGGAUAACUACUGGAAACGGUAGCUAAUACCGCAUAACGUCGCAAGACCAAAGAGGGGGACCUUCGGGCCUCUUGCCAUCGGAUGUGCCCAGAUGGGAUUAGCUAGUAGGUGAGGUAACGGCUCACCUAGGCGACGAUCCCUAGCUGGUCUGAGAGGAUGACCAGCCACACUGGAACUGAGACACGGUCCAGACUCCUACGGGAGGCAGCAGUGGGGAAUAUUGCACAAUGGGCGCAAGCCUGAUGCAGCCAUGCCGCGUGUAUGAAGAAGGCCUUCGGGUUGUAAAGUACUUUCAGCGGGGAGGAAGGGAGUAAAGUUAAUACCUUUGCUCAUUGACGUUACCCGCAGAAGAAGCACCGGCUAACUCCGUGCCAGCAGCCGCGGUAAUACGGAGGGUGCAAGCGUUAAUCGGAAUUACUGGGCGUAAAGCGCACGCAGGCGGUUUGUUAAGUCAGAUGUGAAAUCCCCGGGCUCAACCUGGGAACUGCAUCUGAUACUGGCAAGCUUGAGUCUCGUAGAGGGGGGUAGAAUUCCAGGUGUAGCGGUGAAAUGCGUAGAGAUCUGGAGGAAUACCGGUGGCGAAGGCGGCCCCCUGGACGAAGACUGACGCUCAGGUGCGAAAGCGUGGGGAGCAAACAGGAUUAGAUACCCUGGUAGUCCACGCCGUAAACGAUGUCGACUUGGAGGUUGUGCCCUUGAGGCGUGGCUUCCGGAGCUAACGCGUUAAGUCGACCGCCUGGGGAGUACGGCCGCAAGGUUAAAACUCAAAUGAAUUGACGGGGGCCCGCACAAGCGGUGGAGCAUGUGGUUUAAUUCGAUGCAACGCGAAGAACCUUACCUGGUCUUGACAUCCACGGAAGUUUUCAGAGAUGAGAAUGUGCCUUCGGGAACCGUGAGACAGGUGCUGCAUGGCUGUCGUCAGCUCGUGUUGUGAAAUGUUGGGUUAAGUCCCGCAACGAGCGCAACCCUUAUCCUUUGUUGCCAGCGGUCCGGCCGGGAACUCAAAGGAGACUGCCAGUGAUAAACUGGAGGAAGGUGGGGACGACGUCAAGUCAUCAUGGCCCUUACGACCAGGGCUACACACGUGCUACAAUGGCGCAUACAAAGAGAAGCGACCUCGCGAGAGCAAGCGGACCUCAUAAAGUGCGUCGUAGUCCGGAUUGGAGUCUGCAACUCGACUCCAUGAAGUCGGAAUCGCUAGUAAUCGUGGAUCAGAAUGCCACGGUGAAUACGUUCCCGGGCCUUGCACUCACCGCCCGUCA
rnacentral:rRNA from 1 species